rnacentral:rRNA from 1 species
AUCAACCAGAAAGUCACGGCUAACUACGUGCCAGCAGCCGCGGUAAUACGUAGGUGGCAAGCGUUGUCCGGAUUUAUUGGGCGUAAAGCGAGCGCAGGCGGAAUGAUAAGUCUGAUGUGAAAGCCCACGGCUCAACCGUGGAACUGCAUCGGAAACUGUCAUUCUUGAGUGCAGAAGAGGAGAGUGGAAUUCCAUGUGUAGCGGUGGAAUGCGUAAAUAUAUGGAAGAACACCAGUGGCGAAGGCGGCUCUCUGGUCUGCAACUGACGCUGAGGCUCGAAAGCAUGGGUAGCGAACAGGAUUAGAUACCCUGGUAGUCCAUGCCGUAAACGAUGAACCGCUAGGUGUUGGGGACUUUCCGGUCCUCAGUGCCGCAGCAAACGCAUUAAAGCGCUCCCGCCUGGGGGAGAACGACCGCAAGGUUGAAACUCAAAAGGAAUUGACCGGGGGCCCGCCACAACCGGGGGAACAUGUGGGUUUAAU